AUUGAACGCUGGCGGCAUGCUUUACACAUGCAAGUCGAACGGUAACAGGUUAAGCUGACGAGUGGCGAACGGGUGAGUAAUGCAUCGGAACGUGCCCGGUCGUGGGGGAUAACGCAGCGAAAGCUGCGCUAAUACCGCAUACGAUCUGAGGAUGAAAGCGGGGGACCGUAAGGCCUCGCGCGAUCGGAGCGGCCGAUGUCAGAUUAGGUAGUUGGUGGGGUAAAGGCCUACCAAGCCGACGAUCUGUAGCUGGUCUGAGAGGACGACCAGCCACACUGGGACUGAGACACGGCCCAGACUCCUACGGGAGGCAGCAGUGGGGAAUUUUGGACAAUGGGCGCAAGCCUGAUUCAGCAAUGCCGCGUGCAGGAAGAAGGCCUUCGGGUUGUAAACUGCUUUUGUACGGAGCGAAAAGGCUCUCUCUAAUACAGGGGGUUCAUGACGGUACCGUAAGAAUAAGCACCGGCUAACUACGUGCCAGCAGCCGCAGUAAGAC
rnacentral:rRNA from 1 species